AAUAUUGCACAAUGGGGGAAACCCUGAUGCAGCCAUUGCCGCGUGUGUGAAGAAGGCCUUCGGGUUGUAAAGCACUUUCAGUAGGGAGGAAGGUAGUGUAGUUAACACCUUGCAUUAUUUGACGUUACCUACAGAAGAAGCACCGGCUAACUCCGUGCCAGCAGCCGCGGUAAUACGGAGGGUGCGAGCGUUAAUCGGAAUUACUGGGCGUAAAGCGCAUGCAGGCGGCCUGUUAAGUCAGAUGUGAAAGCCCGGGGCUUAACCUCGGAAUUGCAUUUGAAACUGGCAGGCUAGAGUCUUGUAGAGGGGGUAGAAUUUCAGGUGUAGCGGUGAAAAUGCGUAGAGAUCUGAAGGAAUACCAGUGGCGAAGGCGGCCCCCUGGACAAAGACUGACGCUCAGAUGCGAAAGCGUGGGGAGCAAACAGGAUUAGAUACCCUGGUAG
rnacentral:rRNA from 1 species